CUCCUUUUCUCCUUCUGCUCUAACAGCCUUAGCUUGUGGCGGCUUUGUUGCCUCAUGCCUCCAAGAUGGCUGCUCCACCUCAAGCCUCCUGUUUGUGGAGCAGGCAGGAAAAAGAAGAAAGAGAGGAAGGCAGGAAAGGAGAACAGAGAAAGGAGAAAGGCACGUGGGAGGGAAAGGCAGGGCCUGUGUGAGGAGGGGAAAUACUUCCCCAACUCACUAGCGGACUUUCUGUGAGUCAUGUCUCAUGACAAGAAACGGUUACAUGGCCACUCCCAGCUGCAAAGGAGUCGAGAAAGAAUCUCCAGAACAGCCUACAUGACUCUGUUUUACAUUUCAUGAGAUGGCAUUCAUGCUUCACUCCCAGCCUUUCUCUUUCUCAGUCUUGUGUUAUCAAGCACCUUGGAUAGAGGUGGACAUUACCAUCUGGAUGCCCAUCAUUGCUUCAGACUCCUCAGGUACGAGGAAAUGUGUUCCAGGGAAGCAGCAUGGAAAACUGGCCUAGGAGUCACGAGUUCUAAGGUCUGCUGCGUGACUGUGGGUAAGUCACUUUCUCUCCAGUUUACAGCUUUCUCACUGAUGAAAUGAGAGCUUAGAUUAAGUAAUAUCUUACUUCAUCACUUUCCCAUCUUUCCCCAGAUUGGUUUCUCUCCUAGAUUUUUUUCUUGUUAGUCAUGCCGCCAUUCUCUCAAUUACCCAGUCCUUAGAGGUGUCUUGAACUGUUCUUCACCAACUCUCCCUCUUUCCUGCCCACAGCUUUUCCACUCCACAACACGUGCUAUUGCUUUUUCCUUCUUGUUGAUUUCCACAGCUUUCCAUUUCAGUCCCGCAGC
rnacentral:lncRNA from 1 species